rnacentral:rRNA from 1 species
AGAGUUUGAUCCUGGCUCAGGAUGAACGCUAGCUACAGGCUUAACACAUGCAAGUCGAGGGGCAUCAGGAAGAAAGCUUGCUUUCUUUGCUGGCGACCGGCGCACGGGUGAGUAACACGUAUCCAACCUGCCCUUUACUCGGGGAUAGCCUUUCGAAAGAAAGAUUAAUACCCGAUAGCAUAAUGAUUCCGCAUGGUUUCAUUAUUAAAGGAUUCCGGUAAAGGAUGGGGAUGCGUUCCAUUAGGUUGUUGGUGAGGUAACGGCUCACCAAGCCUUCGAUGGAUAGGGGUUCUGAGAGGAAGGUCCCCCACAUUGGAACUGAGACACGGUCCAAACUCCUACGGGAGGCAGCAGUGAGGAAUAUUGGUCAAUGGGCGCUAGCCUGAACCAGCCAAGUAGCGUGAAGGAUGAAGGCUCUAUGGGUCGUAAACUUCUUUUAUAUAAGAAUAAAGUGCAGUAUGUAUACUGUUUUGUAUGUAUUAUAUGAAUAAGGAUCGGCUAACUCCGUGCCAGCAGCCGCGGUAAUACGGAGGAUCCGAGCGUUAUCCGGAUUUAUUGGGUUUAAAGGGAGCGUAGGCGGAUUGUUAAGUCAGUUGUGAAAGUUUGCGGCUCAACCGUAAAAUUGCAGUUGAUACUGGCAGUCUUGAGUGCAGUAGAGGUGGGCGGAAUUCGUGGUGUAGCGGUGAAAUGCUUAGAUAUCACGAAGAACUCCGAUUGCGAAGGCAGCUCACUGGAGUGUAACUGACGCUGAUGCUCGAAAGUGUGGGUAUCAAACAGGAUUAGAUACCCUGGUAGUCCACACAGUAAACGAUGAAUACUCGCUGUUUGCGAUAUACAGUAAGCGGCCAAGCGAAAGCGUUAAGUAUUCCACCUGGGGAGUACGCCGGCAACGGUGAAACUCAAAGGAAUUGACGGGGGCCC